UGGACGAAAGUCUGACCGAGCAACGCCGCGUGAGUGAAGAAGGUUUUCGGAUCGUAAAGCUCUGUUGUAAGUCAAGAACGUGUGUGAGAGUGGAAAGUUCACACAGUGACGGUAGCUUACCAGAAAGGGACGGCUAACUACGUGCCAGCAGCCGCGGUAAUACGUAGGUCCCGAGCGUUGUCCGGAUUUAUUGGGCGUAAAGGGAGCGCAGGCGGUCAGGAAAGUCUGGAGUAAAAGGCUAUGGCUCAACCAUAGUGUGCUCUGGAAACUGUCUGACUUGAGUGCAGAAGGGGAGAGUGGAAUUCCAUGUGUAGCAGUGAAAUGCGUAGAUAUAUGGAGGAACACCAGUGGCGAAAGCGGCUCUCUGGUCUGUCACUGACGCUGAGGCUCGAAAGCGUGGGUAGCGAACAGGAUUAGAUACCCUGGUAGUCCACGCCGUAAACGAUGAGUGCUAUGUGUUAGGCCCUUUCCGGGGCUUAGUGCCGGAGCUAACGCAAUAAGCACUCCGCCUGGGGAGUACGACCGCAAGGUUGAAACUCAAAGGAAUUGACGGGGGCCCGCACAAGCGGUGGAGCAUGUGGUUUAAUUCGAAGCAACGCGAAGAACCUUACCAGGUCUUGA
rnacentral:rRNA from 1 species